GGACUACAGGUAUGAGCCACUGUGCCUGGCCACCCCAUGUACUAGCACCAUUCAGGCCCCAGGGAAUGCUUCCAAAGUUUCUUGCCCUAUGUCCUGGGAACAAAAAUGGACUUUGCUGAUUGCUGUAAAGGCUUACUAUUUGUUUCAUUGCCAACAUCAGAGACAGACACUGCUUUGGAGUCUGAGGAGGGCUGAGAUAUAGGAGGACUUAGUUUCAGUUACUGUUCCAAAUUGGAGAUAUUCGCAGAUUACAUUGGCAUUCACAACAGUUGCACAUGGCAGCUGAGGGAUAUUUUCCAAUAGAACAAGUCUGAUUUCUCAUCUGUGUAUGUGUAGAUCUAGAUGUAAUUAUGUGUGGAGCAUGGUACCAAUUCUUCCUAUUGGCAUUUAGAACAAUAUUGAACAUUAAA